GGAAUCUUCGGCAAUGGACGAAAGUCUGACCGAGCAACGCCGCGUGAGCGAAGAAGGCCUUCGGGUCGUAAAGCUCUGUUGUUAGAGAAGAACAUGGGUGAGAGUAACUGUUCACCCCUUGACGGUAUCUAACCAGAAAGCCACGGCUAACUACGUGCCAGCAGCCGCGGUAAUACGUAGGUGGCAAGCGUUGUCCGGAAUUAUUGGGCGUAAAGCGCGCGCAGGCGGUCUCUUAAGUCUGAUGUGAAAGCCCCCGGCUCAACCGGGGAGGGUCAUUGGAAACUGGGAGACUUGAGGACAGAAGAGGAGAGUGGAAUUCCAAGUGUAGCGGUGAAAUGCGUAGAUAUUUGGAGGAACACCAGUGGCGAAGGCGGCUCUCUGGUCUGUUACUGACGCUGAGGCGCGAAAGCGUGGGGAGCAAACAGGAUUAGAUACCCCUG
rnacentral:rRNA from 1 species